GGCCCGUUGGUCAAGCGGUUAAGACACCGCCCUUUCACGGCGGUAACACGGGUUCGAAUCCCGUACGGGUUA
rnacentral:tRNA from 2 species